rnacentral:rRNA from 1 species
AUUGAACGCUGGCGGCAUGCCUUACACAUGCAAGUCGAACGGCAGCACGGACUUCGGUCUGGUGGCGCGUGGCGAACGGGUGAGUAAUGUAUCGGAACGUACCUUUCAGUGUGGGAUAACGUAGUGAAAGUUACGCUAAUACUGCAUAUUCUGUGAGCAGGAAAGCAGGGGAUCGAAAGACCUUGCGCUGAGUGAGCGUACGAUAUCAGAUUAGCUAGUUGGUGGGGUAAAGGCCUACCAACGCGACGAUCUGUAGCGGGUCUGAGAGGAUGAUCCGCCACACUAGCACUGAGACACGGUCCAGACUCCAGCGGGAGGCAGCAGUCGGGAAUUUUGGACAUUGGGGGAAAACCUGAUCCACCAAUGCCGAGUGAGUGAAGAAGACAUUCGGGUUGGAAAGCUGUCUCGGCCGAGAAGAAAUCGCAUCGGCUAAAACACUGUGUGGAUGAAGGUACCGGAAUAAGAAGCACCGGAUAACUACGUG